AAUAAAAUGGCUGAGGGAUAAGCGAUAAAUUGUAAAUUUAUUAACGAAAUUUUAAUUUCUUUUAUUA
rnacentral:tRNA from 1 species